rnacentral:tRNA from 1 species
GGGGAGAUGGCUCAGUGGUUGAUAGCAUUGGCUGCUAUUCCAAAGGACCUGGAUUCGAUUCCCAGUGCCUACA